UUGCUUUCUGAAGUGGAUGGUUAGACGAUCUUUAACCUUCGAAGAUUGCCGGAUUGAAUGAAACGGUGAUGGAACACAGGUGAACUCAGAUCGCAAUCAUUCGCUUAUUCCCUAACUUUUGCGUGGACCGCCCUUUUGGGUUUUCAAUCCACCGGGAUACCCUUUUUUGCCUGAGCCGCCCUUUCGGGUUUUCGACUCACCGGGUGUACGUUUUUUUUGAUUUGUAUAUCCCUAAUUUUUGCCCGAAC
rnacentral:lncRNA from 1 species